GACGAACGCUGGCGGCGUGCUUAACACAUGCAAGUCGAACGGAAAGGCCCUGCUUGCCGGGUACUCGAGUGGCGAACGGGUGAGUAACACGUGGGUGAUCUGCCCUGCACUUCGGGAUAAGCCUGGGAAACUGGGUCUAAUACCGGAUAGGGGCCAUUUUUAGUGUGAUGGUUGGAAAGUUUUUUCGGUGUAGGAUGAGCUCGCGGCCUAUCAGCUUGUUGGUGGGGUAAUGGCCUACCAAGGCGGCGACGGGUAGCCGGCCUGAGAGGGUGGACGGCCACAUUGGGACUGAGAGACGGCCCAGACUCCGACGGGAGGCAGCAGUGGGGAAUAUUGCACAAUGGGCGCAAGCCUGAUGCAGCGACGCCGCGGGGGGGAUGACGGCCUUCGGGUUGUAAACUCCUUUCGCUAGGGACGAAGCUUUUUGUGACGGUACCUAGAGAAGAAGCACCGGCUAACUACGUG
rnacentral:rRNA from 1 species